GGCCUAAACCAAGUCGACAGCCCGUAAGUGCACCCAUGGUAAGGCGCUGCACAAAGAAAGCAUUUUGCGUUUCAAAGCUUUGUCAUGAUGGCGCUGCAGAAAGCAAGCGAGCUAGGCCUACCUGGCGGGGCUUUCAGAGGACGCCAACGUGGGCGCCAGCCACGCCAGCAGGGUCACCGUCCUUCCCAAGGACAGACAGCUCGCUAGCCACUCCUGUGGAGAG
rnacentral:lncRNA from 1 species